AAUCUGUGUCAGCAUUUAAUAUUGUUAGUACUUUUAAUUUUAGUCAUUCUAGUAUGAGUGUAGUAAUACCUUCUUAUGGCUGUAUUUUAUUUUUAAAAUAUUUAUUUAUUUAUUUAUUUUAGGGUGAGAGCAAGCAUGCGAGAGCUCCUAUCCACUGGGUCACACCCCAGAUGCUGCAAUGGCUGGGACUGGACUGGGCUAAAGACAGACAGGCGAAAUUCAGUGUGGAUCUUUCAUGUGGAUGCAGGAACCCAGCGGAGCUAUGAAUGCUGCUUUCCAAGAACUGCAUUGGCAAGAAGCUGGGUUCAGGAGCCCAGCAUCACAUCCAGGUCAGAUUUUGAAGACUUCCGAGAGGUUUUAAAGGCGCGAUCCCCACCAUUUCGGCAUUUCUACAUUCCAUUUUGUUUUAUCUAA
rnacentral:lncRNA from 1 species